UACAGAGGGUGCGAGCGUUGUCCGGAAUCACUGGGCGUAAAGGGCGCGUAGGUGGCCUGGUAAGUAGGGGGUGAAAUCCUGUGGCUUAACUGCAGGACGGCCUCCUAUACUGCUAGGCUUGAGCACGGUAGAGGCUGGUGGAAUUCCCGGUGUAGCGGUGGAAUGCGUAGAGAUCGGGAAGAACAUCGGUGGCGAAGGCGGCCAGCUGGGCCGUUGCUGACACUGAGGCGCGACAGCGUGGGUAGCAAACAGG
rnacentral:rRNA from 1 species